rnacentral:misc_RNA from 1 species
GAAAUGCGAUAAGUAAUGUGAAUUGCAGAAUUCAGUGAAUCAUCGAAUCUUUGAACGCACAUUGUGCCCGCCAGUAUUCUGGCGGGCAUGCCUGUUCGAGCGUCAUUACAACCCUCAGGCCCCCGGGCCUGGCGUUGGGGAUCGGCGGAAGCCCCCUGCGGGCACAACGCCGUCCCCCAAAUACAGUGGCGGUCCCGCCGCAGCUUCCAUUGCGUAGUAGCUAACACCUCGCAACUGGAGAGCGGCGCGGCCACGCCGUAAAACACCCAACUUCUGAAUGUUGACCUUGAAUCAGGUAGGAAUACCCGCUGAACUUAAGC